rnacentral:misc_RNA from 1 species
UUAAACCCUCUCCUGCUUUGGUAUGCUGCAUUUGUGCGGCCUGCCGGAGCAGGCAGGAGUCUGGACCAUUUGUAAACUCCUGCAAUGGUCUGUAAUUGAUUGUAUGUACUGCAAUCGCUAUUUUGAUUGUCAAUGAAACAGCAACAGAUUUAUCUAAUACUGUUUAAUUGCAAUCAAGAUUGAUUUCAGGAUGUCAUCCAAUAACCACACAGAAAGUACGACUCUGUCGUGCUCUCUGUCA